GAUGAACGCUAGCGGCAGGCUUAAUACAUGCAAGUCGAGGGGCAGCAUGAUUGUAGCAAUACAAUUGAUGGCGACCGGCAAACGGGUGCGGAACACGUACACAACCUUCCAACAAGUGGGGGAUAGCCCAGAGAAAUUUGGAUUAAUACCCCGUAACAUAGCGAUGUGGCAUCACAUUGCUAUUAUAGAUUUUUCGCUUGUUGAUGGGUGUGCGGCUGAUUAGAUAGUUGGCGGGGUAACGGCCCACCAAGUCUACGAUCAGUAGCUGAUGUGAGAGCAUGAUCAGCCACACGGGCACUGAGACACGGGCCCGACUCCUACGGGAGGCAGCAGUAAGGAAUAUUGGACAAUGGACGCAAGUCUGAUCCAGCCAUGCCGCGUGAAGGAUUAAGGUCCUCUGGAUUGUAAACUUCUUUUAUAAGGGACGAAAAAAGGCUUUUCUAAGUCGUCUGACGGUACCAGAUGAAUAAGCACCGGCUAACUCCGUGCCAGCAGCCGCGGUAAUAC
rnacentral:rRNA from 1 species